rnacentral:rRNA from 1 species
CCAACACAUGCAAGUUCGAACGGACCCUUCGGGGUUAGUGGCGGACGGGUGAGUAACACGCUGGGAACGUGCCUUUAGGUUCGGAAUAGCUCCUGGAAACGGGUGGUAAUGCCGAAUGUGCCCUUCGGGGGAAAGAUUUAUCGCCUUUAGAGCGGCCCGCGUCUGAUUAGCUAGUUGGUGAGGUAAUGGCUCACCAAGGCGACGAUCAUAGCUGGUCUGAAGGAUGACCAGCCACAUUGGGACUGAGACACGGCCCAAACUCCUACGGAGGCAGC